GUGCGCACGCCACAGGACUAACGAAGUGACUAAGGACGACGUGACAAUCAUAAAGACUACCAGACUACAGUUUGCGAUUGAGUAAGAAUAUUGUGUUGCGUUUAACAAUAAUCUGUUGUUUGAACAAUGAUAUAUUUGGUUCCAAGGACUUACGGCCUAUAAUUGGUAUGGGCGUCGUAACAUGAAUACAAUAUUAUUCACACAGACUUAAUUUAUAGACUAUGAUUAUUCACAGGAUCGGUUGUGACAUUAUCGACGCGAAUUAGUGCUAGACCGGGUCCGAAGUCAGUACUACCGUCGAUUACAUAAUACUAGUAAUGUUUCGACCAUGACCAAAUAGUCCAAAUACGGUAUAAGUUUAUGUUAUUUUGACAUAUUGUUAUCAAUGAUACUACGAACGGCUGUCGCGCACUGUCGAGCACACGCGGAACUCGGGAAGUCGGGACUUCCGCAUUGACACGCAUAGAUAGCGCCGUACCUUUGGCCGCGAAUUAUAUGCCACCCCGGAACCGCCGGUGAUUCAACAAUCAUUUAUCAUUUCUAUAGAGCGAUAACUACACCAAUAACGUGUGAAGUGUGAAUUUUAUUUAUUUUAUAAAAACAUUUUUGUUACUUUUUAAAGGAUAACCGAUUUUUAUGUUAUACCUACAAACUAUUGUAGUAAAAAUGUCAGUAUAUAAUAUCAAUAAAUAAUAUUUAAGAUUAA